rnacentral:lncRNA from 1 species
CAUGUAUGAUUAUUUCUUUAUUGCAUUCUAGGUUUUAGUGGAAUUUAGGAUAAAGUUAAAUCUCUCUCACAUUUAUGAUAAGAUCAACAAAAUGAAUUCUUACUAGUGUUUCUUUCCACAGUUGCCUUGAAUUGGCUGGGUGAUCACAAAUGUAAAUUACUCUCUUGGAGUCCUGAGUAGAAAACUGAAUCUCUUGAAAGAAGAUGCAAUAGGAAAAAUUCUUCCUUCACAUGUAACAUUUCCAAGAAGCAUGUUUCUCUGUCAAAUGCUCCAGAGUAUUUUCAGUGCGACACGUAGCCCAGGACUGCAUGAAGUCAUGUCUUCUUUCUUUUGAUCUCUAAUAAGGUUUGUAGAGACCAGGCAAGCUUUAAGACAUCUAGAGUUAUCUCUGCUCUGAGAUUAAAAUGGAAAACACUGAAGUACGGGCUAGAAAUCUCU